AGCCAGUAAAACCAAAAGAGGAAGUUUCAGUCAGGGAGGAGGGGCUAGAGGAAGAUCCCUGCCCUGAAGGAUUCCCUGGCUGCUGGCUAUUGUGCAUCAUAACUGUCCUCUUACCUAACAGUGUGGUCGAUGGAACUGUGUCUGAUGAUACUUUGAGAUGAAAUUCCAUUUGCGCACAGAACACGGAUCAAUGGAACCCAACAGAAGGUCAACAGGAGAAAAAAUGUGGAAAAUAAAAUAAAAACACAAGGUGUCAUUCCAGCUGUGCCCACGAUGCAGAGUUUUCCUUUGAAUCAGUCCUACCAGGCUGGUUUUAUCUAUGACCCUCGGUAUGACAGCCAUCAGUAUGGUGUCUGUGCAGCAGUGCCUCUGUGCCAGAAGUAUCAUUAGUAUAUCAUUGUUCAUUUGAUACAGCACCUCACUCAUCCUACUCAAGGGAUGCCAGGCUACACGAGAUGUGCUCUCUGGAAUGACCUUGCAUGUGCCUCAUUGGACACUUCAGACAUUUGUGGAUAAUUUUAGCUCCCUGCUCUGAUCUCCCUUGUCAUCUCCUUUCUUCACUGACAUGAUACCUGCAUCCAUUUGUAUGGUAAGGAACUGAAUAAUAUCACAAAGCAUUCAAAAGAAGACAUUUUAUAUCACAGAGGAAUUCCAAAUUUAACCAUCUCCAGGUAAUUUUUUUUAAACUUCUCUAUUUUUCCCCCCUGUGUUCAACUUACCUUUCCACAUUUGCAGAUGAAAUAAUAGUGAAAUCAAUUACAAUUUUGCUGAGGAAUAACAUUACAAUUAAAAAAAUAUCUAGAUAAACCACCAAACUAAUCUUUUAAAAGGAGAUUAUUUACUCAUUCCUUUCUGCAACAAAAUCUCAGUCUGAGAACUC